UAUUAAUAUAUAUAUACCACUAUGUAAAGAACUUCAUUGCUCUUUUAAUUUAGCUUCUCUUUUACUGACUAAUAUUUUGGAUCAAAGUGAGAUCUUCUUUUUUGGCACAAACUUAUAAUCCUAUUAUUUAAUUCUUUCCAGCUGCUGACAUAUAGUACAUAAUUUCAGAUGUUUUAGUAUGUUUGAUGAAUAUUUCUUUUUUUUUUCAAUUUACCCCAUCUGAAAUUACUUCAUAGUCUUUCCAGCUAGUCUUUCCAUCGUUGAUACAUAAUUGCCAAAGUAGCCAAGUUGAACUCCCUACUUUUAAGAUUCUUGAGUCACUACUUUGGAUUCUUCAAAGGUCCUUCGAUUCUAUGCAAUCUGGGAUGAUACAGACAGCAUGUAUGGUGAAUGUCGGACCUACAUCAUUCAUUACUAUCUUAUGGAUGAUACGGUGGAAAUUCGAGAGGUCCACGAACGGAAUGAUGGGAGAGAUCCUUUCCCACUCCUAAUGAACCGCCAGCGUAUGCCCAAAGUUUUGGUGGAAAAUGCAAAGAACUUCCCUCAGUGUGUGCUAGAAAUCUCUGACCAAGAAGUGUUGGAAUGGUAUACUGCUAAAGACUUCAUUGUUGGGAAGUCACUCACUAUCCUUGGGAGAACUUUCUUCAUUUAUGAUUGUGAUCCAUUUACUCGACGGUAUUACAAAGAGAAGUUUGGAAUCACUGAUUUACCACGUAUUGAUGUGAGCAAGCGGGAACCACCUCCAGUAAAACAGGAGUUGCCUCCUUAUAACGGUUUUGGACUAGUGGAAGAUUCUGCUCAGAAUUGUUUUGCUCUCAUUCCAAAAGCUCCAAAAAAAGAUGUUAUUAAAAUGCUGGUGAAUGAUAACAAGGUGCUUCGUUAUUUGGCUGUACUGCUACCGACAUGAUCAGUAUCUUUGAGCCUCCUGUUCGCAAUUCUGGUAUCAUUGGGGGCAAGUACCUUGGCAGGACUAAAGUUGUUAAACCAUACUCUACAGUGGACAACCCUGUCUACUAUGGCCCCAGUGACUUCUUCAUUGGUGCUGUGAUUGAAGUGUUUGGUCACCGGUUCAUCAUCCUUGAUACAGACGAGUAUGUUUUGAAAUACAUGGAGAGCAACGCUGCCCAGUAUUCACCAGAAGCACUCGCGUCAAUUCAGAACCAUGUCCGAAAGCGAGAAGCGCCUGCUCCAGAAGCAGAAAGCAAGCAAACUGAAAAGGAUCCAGGCGUGCAGGAAUUGGAAGCAUUAAUAGACACAAUUCAGAAGCAACUGAAAGAUCACUCAUGCAAAGACAACAUUCGUGAGGCAUUUCAAAUUUAUGACAAGGAAGCUUCAGGAUAUGUGGACAGAGACAUGUUCUUUAAAAUCUGUGAAUCGCUUAAUGUCCCAGUGGAUGACUCCUUGGUUAAGGAGUUAAUCAGGAUGUGCUCUCAUGGAGAAGGCAAGAUUAACUACUAUAACUUUGUUCGUGCUUUCUCAAACUGACCUGCUGAUGAGAAAAUGCAAGACAAUUUUUGAUAUUGGAACUAUGCUUUGAAAUACACCUUACACUCUUCAUAGAGGCAUUUACAGAGUUCCUGAAGCUUUAUUUCUGUUUUGGUUCUUAUUUCACUCCUACUGAAGUCGAAACUAAAUUG
rnacentral:sRNA from 1 species